UCGUAGCCGCCACCCGACCAACCUCCUCCUUCCUCGGGAUCCCCAAUAUCCAGUUCGCGUCCAAACCGUCCCAAGCCUUCGAGUCAGCCUCCUCCCCUGCCUCCCGGACGCGUCCAUGGAUGCUCGUGGCUUCCUUCUUCCGUGUGCAAGCAGCAGCUCGCUAGGUCGUGCCUGCCGUGGUCAUUGGAGGGAACCACGCCGCGCGCGUCGUCUGCCCCAAGCGCAGCCGGGAGCUCCUCUGCCGCUCAGGCCCUG
rnacentral:lncRNA from 1 species